rnacentral:lncRNA from 1 species
GACAGCCCGCGUGAUAGGAAGCCAUGCGCGCCGGCUAGAGAGCUUAAAAGGGAGGAUUUUUGGAGAGAAAUAGAGUGAGAGAGGGAGAGCGGAAAUAGAGAAAGGGUGGAGAGACCGUGAGAGCAACCGAGAGAGAGCGAGAGAGAGAGUUUGAGAGCGAGGAGCCCUCCGACGACUCCGGGCAGUGCUCUCGAGACCGCGGCUCGCGUUCCCCGCGCCCAAGUCUCCGGUAGGUCAGGUUUCUUUCUUGUUUCGAUUUUUCGCGGGACGAGCCGUUUUUCGAGAAUCCCGGCUCAGAGGCGUGCGAGGCGACUGGACG